rnacentral:rRNA from 1 species
UUGAACGCUGGCGGCAUGCUUUACACAUGCAAGUCGAACGGUAACAGGCCUUCGGGCGCUGACGAGUGGCGAACGGGUGAGUAAUGCAUCGGAACGUGCCCAGAGGUGGGGAUAACGCAGCGAAAGCUGUGCUAAUACCGCAUAUUAUCUGAGGAUGAAAGCGGGGGACUAAGCAGCAAUGUUUGGCCUCGCGCCUUUGGAGCGGCCGAUGUCAGAUUAGGUAGUUGGUGGGGUAAAGGCCUACCAAGCCGACGAUCCUUAGCUGGUCUGAGAGGAUGAUCAGCCACACUGGGACUGAGACACGGCCCAGACUCCUACGGGAGGCAGCAGUGGGGAAUAUUGGACAAUGGGCGAAAGCCUGAUCCAGCAAUGCCGCGUGAGUGAUGAAGGCCUUCGGGUCGUAAAGCUCUUUUACCAGGGAUGAUAAUGACAGUACCUGGAGAAUAAGCUCCGGCUAACUCCGUG